AGGGGUAUAGCUCAAUUGGUAGAGCACCGGUCUCCAAAACCGGCGGUUGGGGGUUCGAGUCCCUCUGCCCCUG
rnacentral:tRNA from 1 species